rnacentral:lncRNA from 1 species
GGGCUCCCCGGCAUUGCGCCAUCAAAAACAAAGUCGUUCUCCAACUUCUUGUCCUGCAUCACUGCCAUCGCAGCUCUCAGCACUAAAAAGGUGGCAUCAGACUCCUCCAAAGAACAAGUGGCCAAUUCGAGGGAAUCCUCCUCGUUAUCAAAAGAAGUAAACGACAGUCCGAGAGCCGCCGACAAGUCUCCUGAAUCCCAGAAUCUCAUCGACGGGACCAAAAAAACAUCCCUAAAGCAACUGGAUAGUCCCAGAAACAUCUCAAGUGAGAACAGCAUCAAAGGAACCCCGGCUUCUCCCGCAGGGUCCACACCACCAAUCCCCAAAGUCCGCAUAAAAACCACUAAGACGUCUUCUGGGGAAAUCAAGAGAACAGUGACCAGGGUAUUGCCAGAAGUGGAUCUUGACUCUGGGAAGAAACCUUCCGAGCAGACGGUGUCUGUGAUGGCCUCUGUGACAUCCCUUCUGUCGUCUCCCGCAUCAGCUGCCACCCUUUCCUCUCCCGCCAGGGUGCCUCUCCAGUCUGCAGUGGUGACCAAUGCAGUUUCCUCUGCAGAGCCCACCCCUAAACAGGUCACAAUCAAGCCUGUGGCUACUGCUUUCCUCCCAGUGUCUGCUGUGAAGACAGCAGGAUCCCAAGUCAUUAAUUUGAAGCUCGCUAACAACACCACGGUGAAAGCCACGGUCGUACCUGCUGCCUCUGUCCAGAGUGCCAGCAGCACCAUCAUUAAAGCUGCCAAUGCCAUCCAGCAGCAAACUGUCAUGAUGCCAGCAUCCAGCCUGGCCAAUGCCAAACUUGUGCCAAAGACUGCAUCUUGCCAACCUUAACCUUCUGCCUCAGGUUGCCCAGGCCACCUCUGAACUCUGCCAAGUGUCAAUCAAAACUCAGCAACAGAUAAAGAAGGCAAUAAUUAAUGCAGCAGCCUCACAAGCCCCCAGAAAGGUGUCUCGAGUCCGGGUGGUGUCGUCCUUGCAGAGUUCUGUGGUGGAAACUUUCAACAAGGUGCUGAGCAGUGUCAAUCCAGUCCAUUUACAUCCCAAACCUCAGUCCUCCUGCCAAUGCAGGGAUCACAUUACUGAUGCCUUGGUACAAGUGCUUGGAGUGUAGGGACUCCUUUGAACUUGAAAAGAGUCUGACCCAGCACUAUGACAGAUGGAGCGUGUGCAUCGAAGUAACAUGCAACCUUUGUACAAAGAACCUCGUUUUUUUACAACAAAUGCAGCCUCCUUUCCCAUGCCCGUGGGCAUAAGGAGAAAGGGGUGGUAAUGCAAUGUUCCUACUCAAUUUUAAAGCCAGUCCCAGCAGGUCAAACGAUAGUUUCUCCAUCAACCAAUACUUCUUCUUCAUCAGAGGAAAAAUCCACUCUUCAGAGCCCUGUGGGAGCUGGCAUACACACUGUCACAAAAAUUCAGUCUGGCAUAACUGGGACAGUCAUAUCGGCUCCUUCAAGAACUCCCAGCACUACAGCCAUGCCCCUAGAUGAAGACCCCUCCAAGCUGUGUAGACAUAAUCUAAAAUGUUUGGAGUGUAAUGAAAUCUUCCAGGACAAGACAUCGCUGGCUACACAUUUCCAGCAGGCUGCAGAUAUGAGUGGACAAAAGACUUGUACUAUCUGCCAGAUGCUGCUUCCUAACCAGUGCAGAGAAUCCAUCAGCACAAAUCUCCUUAAACCUGCCCUGAGUGCAGGGCCAUCUGCAGGUUGGUGCACUUCCAGACCCACGUCACCAAGAACUGUCUGCACUACACAAGGAGAGUUGGUUUUUGAUGUGUACGUUGCAAUGUUGUGUACUCUGAUGUGGCUGCUCUGAAGUCUCGCCUUCAAGGUUCUCACUGUGAAGUCUUCUACAAGUGUCCUAUUUGUCCAAUGACGUUUAAGUCUGCCCCAAGCACACAUUCCCACACCUACACACAGCAUCCUAGCAUCAAGAUAGGAGAAUCAAAAAUAAUAUAUAAGUGUUCCAUGUGCAACACUGUGUUCACCCUGCAAACCUUGCUGUAUCGCCACUUUGACCAACACAUUGAAAACCAGAAGGUGUCUGUUCUCAGGUGUCCAGACUGUUCUCUUUUAUAUGCACAGAAGCAACUUAUGGUGGACCAUAUCAAGUCUAUGCAUGGGACAUUGCAAAGCAUUGAAGGGCCAACUUGGGUGUAAACUUGCCUUUGAGCAUUAAGCCUGCAACUUAUAAUUCAGCAUAUCAGAACAAAGAGGACAGCAAAUCCAUGAAUGGGAAAGAGAAAUUGGAAAAGAAAUCUCCAUCUCCUUUGAAAAAAAUCAGUGGAAACCAAGAAAGUGGCCAGUCCUGGGUGGACAUGUUGGGAGUGUGACCGCCUGUUCAUGCAGAGAGAUGUGUACAUAUCCCACGUCAGGAAGGAGCAUGGGAAACAAAUGAAGAAACAACCCUGCUGCCAGCGUGACAAGCCUUUCAGCUCGUCCCACAGCCUGUGCUGGCACAACCGGAUCAAGCACAAAGUCAUCAGGAAAGUGUACACCUGUUCACACUGCUCAGACUCUAGAGGUACCUUUACCAAACAGUUGAUGUUGGAGAAGCAUGUCCAGCUGACGCAUGGCAUCAAGGACCCUGACCUGAAAGAAAUGAUAGACGCCAUCAAUGAGGAGGAAACAGAAAUAAAAGAAGACCCCAAGGUCCCCAGUCCCAAGUGGAAGUUGAAAGAACCGGUUCUGGAGUUCAGGCCUCCCAGAGGAGCAAUCACUCAACCAAAGCUGGAAAUCAAUGUUUUUAAGGUUCACAAGUGUGCCGUGUGUGGCUUCACCACCGAAAACCUGCUGCAGUUCCACGAACACAUCCCUCAGCACAAAUCGGAUGGUUCUUUCUACCAGUGCCGGGAGUGUGGCCUCUGCUACAUGUCACGUCUCUCUGUCCAGGCACCUCUUUGUUGUACACAAGUUAAAGGAACCUCAGCCAGUGUCCAAGCAAAACGGGGCUGGGGAAGAUAACCAACAGGAGAACAAACCCAGUCACGAGGAUGAAUCUCCCAAUGGCGCCAUGUCAGACAGAAAGUGCAAAGUGUGCGCAAAAACUUUUGAAACUGAAGCUGCCUUAAAAACUCACAUGCAGACACAUGGUAUGGCCUUCAUCAAAUCCAAAAGGAUGAGCUCAGACGAGAAAU